UACGGAGGGAGCUAGCGUUGUUCGGAAUUACUGGGCGUAAAGCGCGCGUAGGCGGCUUUGUAAGUUAGAGGUGAAAGCCCGGGGCUCAACCCCGGAAUUGCCUUUAAGACUGCAUCGCUUGAAUCCGGGAGAGGUGAGUGGAAUUCCGAGUGUAGAGGUGAAAUUCGUAGAUAUUCGGAAGAACACCAGUGGCGAAGGCGGCUCACUGGCCCGAUACUGACGCUGAGGUGCGAAAGCGUGGGGGAGCAAACGGG
rnacentral:rRNA from 1 species